rnacentral:rRNA from 1 species
UACGUAGGGAGCAAGCGUUGUCCGGAAUCAUUGGGCGUAAAGCGCGCGUAGGUGGCUUCGUAAGUCCGUUGUGAAAGUCAAAGGCUCAACCUUUGAAAGCCGAUGGAUACUGCGGAGCUAGAGUACGGAAGAGGCGAGUGGAAUUCCUGGUGUAGCGGUGGAAUGCGCAGAUAUCAGGAGGAACACCAAUAGCGAAGGCAGCUCGCUGGGACGUUACUGACACUGAGGUGCGAAAGCGUGGGGAGCGAACAGG